rnacentral:lncRNA from 1 species
GCAAAGCCACAUCAGAUAGAUAUCAUACUAAAAUUUAAACAUUUUAUGGCAAGACAAUAUUUGAAAUAACUUCAAUUAAUUUAGUCAUGAAAUAACUUGCUUAAACGUAACAUUUAAACUCAUUUGAUAUAUAUGAAAGUAAUGCCCACCUGAUAGAAAUUUUCUGUGGUACAGUAGCUCCUUGACUGAUUAUUAAUCUCGUGUUUGACCUUUAUUACGAGAAUAUAAAUAAGAUACUGCUC